rnacentral:rRNA from 1 species
CCCGAUGGAGGGGGAUAACUACUGGAAACGGUAGCUAAUACCGCAUAACGUCGCGAGACCAAAGUGGGGGACCUUCGGGCCUCACACCAUCGGAUGUGCCCAGAUGGGAUUAGCUAGUAGGUGGGGUAAUGGCUCACCUAGGCGACGAUCCCUAGCUGGUCUGAGAGGAUGACCAGCCACACUGGAACUGAGACACGGUCCAGACUCCUACGGGAGGCAGCAGUGGGGAAUAUUGCACAAUGGGCGCAAGCCUGAUGCAGCCAUGCCGCGUGUAUGAAGAAGGCCUUCGGGUUGUAAAGUACUUUCAGCGGGGAGGAAGGCGGUGAAGUUAAUAGCUUCACCGAUUGACGUUACCCGCAGAAGAAGCACCGGCUAACUCCGUGCCAGCAGCCGCGGUAAU